AAAUCCUACGCGUUUCAUCUGUUCGUGAAUUCCUCAUGGAUAAUUUCUCAGUGGUAAACAAAAUGCUGGAUACAAAGUGCAUAAAAAGCUAACUUCUCUCCCUAUUAUAUACACCCGCAAUGAGUCCAAAUCUUAUUCCUAGAGGUGGCUUCACUUUCUGGCUAAUUUCGAUCUCUGUGAUUACUUCCUGGUUUUGUGCGUCUGACGUCAUCACGUCCCAUACGCAAUGUCGUGUUCCAAGCGUGCGUUCCACCAUCGCCGAUUUGCCAAGGUUUAGUGAUGUAUGUGUUUCAUUUCUGUGAAAUCCAUUUGAUCCACUGAGGAACAGUCUCUGAAUAUAAAAAUGUGUAUAAAUGGGCAAGAAAUA